rnacentral:lncRNA from 10 species
GCUGGCUUGUCAGGGCUGUGGCUGCUGUGACUCUUUAUGGCACCCUCCUCAGUGUCUGUGAGCAGCCUGGUCCCCUAGCCGCAGGCCCAGGCAAAAAACCUGUGUUUGCCUACAUUUUUUAAUCUGUCACUCAGCCAGGGUCUGCGGGGCAGACCUGGCAGGUGAUGCCCUGCGUGAGGAAUGCUGCAGUGGAUUGCGACGGAAUCCUCGAAAACAAAGGUGAAGAGACUGCGCAGUCAGAUGCAAAGCCACAACAUGAGCAGUGACUUCUGCGCCAGACAAACCUGUUGCUGCACACAUCUGUGCUCUUCAAUUAACAAAACCUGAUGCAAAAAACAACAACAACAACAAAAAAAAAAAAACAAACAGAAAAGGGGUAGAUAUAGAAGAUCAGUCAGGCUGGUGCGAGAAAUUAUAAGAAAAAGAUGCAAACCUUAUUGGAAGGCCAGGAGGUUUUGCAAAAGCUUCAAAAGAGGAUUUGGCUGAAGGCAGCUGAAUUCUCUCAGGGUAGAUAACAAGGAAGUGCAAGGGAAUUGAUUUAGAUAAGUUAGUUUGCUUAGGCCUUGGAACCUGGCCUUUAAUCAUCCGCACACAGGACUGCUCUCUGGGGAAUGGUGGGGUGGUGAGGGAGGGCGUGACCAUGUUAAUUACCCACAAGUUGUGUUGACUCAAAGCUUUUGUCAUUAAAUCUGUACUAAAUAAAUGCCCACAGCACCGGCUUGUCAGGGCUGUGGCUGCUGUGACUCUUUAUGGCACCCUCCUCAGUGUCUGUGAGCCGCCUGGUCCCCUAGCCACCGGCCCAGGCAAAAAAUCUGUGUCUGCAUACAUUUGUUCGUCUGUCGCUCCACCA